rnacentral:rRNA from 1 species
GACGAACGCUGGCGGCGUGCUUAACACAUGCAAGUCGAACGGGAUCCGGGCUUUCGGGUUUGGUGAGGGUGGCGAACGGGUGAGUAACACGUGAGUAACCUGCCCCCUUCUUUGGGAUAACGUCGGGAAAUCGGCGCUAAUACUGGAUAUUCUUGCUGCAUCGCAUGGUGUGGUUUGGAAUGGGUUUCUGGUGGGGGAUGGGAUCGCGGCCUAUCAGCUUGUUGGUGGGGUGGUGGCAUACCAAGGCUUUGACGGGGAGCCGGCCUGAGAGGGUGUCCGGCCACACUGAGGAUGAGAAGCAGCCCAGACACCGACGCAAGGCAGCGGUUGGUAAGAGAGGACGAUGGGCGCAAGCCUGAAGCAGCGGCGCAGGGUGAGGGAUGAAGGGCUUCGGGUGGUAAACCUGUUUCAGUAUGGAACAAGGAUCCUACGUUUGGGGGGUUUGAGGGUACGUGCAGAAGAAGCGCCGGCUAACUACGUG